AUCAGCUUCAAGAGUUUCCCUCCUUGUUAGCCCGUACGAUGAACAUUCGGACAUUUGAUCGAGCAUGAUGUCUUUGGGGAGAACCUCGUUGUCUGCGUACUGGAUUGCUGGCACUGAUUUCCCUAUCACCUUUUCAUCACCAUUUCAAUUGCAUUGACCCUUUUCUGCAUGUGUUGGAAGUCUGGAAGGGAAACUGGUGCCGUAAUCUGAUCUCUACUUGUUUGCUCACUUCCUUCAGCGUAUUGUUUUUGCGCCAAAUUGCUAGCCUGGAAACAGUGAGUGGAAGCCAUAAGUUAUAUCCAGAAAAAGAAAUGCAUGCUAUUAUGAUAUAUUUAUAUAGUGCAUAUAAACAUCUAUAUGUAAUACAAAAAUUUAACGAGUCA